UCCUGAGAUCCCCAGGGAGAAAUAAGCAUCGGAAACAACAGCCCAGGGUGAGCAGGACCCUAUGCUCUCGACAGUUCACAGGACCCAGCACCAAUGAGGCUCUUCCUCCAUUUCUCUCACGUCUUUCCUUACGCCACCUGACCGGAUUCCUGGCAACAGUUGUGAUGGAAAAGAGACAAGAGCAGAGAAGGACAGUUCGGCAGUUACUCUGCUCAGGCCAUGGCCACUGGAAAGGAAAAGGAAAUGACACCUUGUACUCCCAGGCUUGUACGACUGCUGUGCCUAAACUCCUUCCUCCCUGGAUGGAGCCUGCGUGGGCCAGAAUCCCAGUGCCAACUCUUUGAAAAUCAAAUCCUAAGGAAUGAGGGAGCCACAAAAUGAAAGUUCCUGUUCCUGAAUGAGGAUUCUGAACUGUGCUGUCUGGGGUGGAACUCAACAUCUGUUCCUUGGCAGCUGAAAGAAAAUGUGGCUAAAGCAUUGAAAAAAGAAGAAAGGACGUGCAGAUCAACUCCAGCUUAUAUCUCGGCAAUUAGAGUGCGUGCCUUGGUGACUAGGCAUCCGUAGGGCUUAUUGUCUGAAAAGCAACAAUAGCACUUGAGUCUCUCAUUUUCCUUCAGGGGAUGACACUUGAGGGGGAAAUCCGGUCUUGUCCUUAUUUCCUGUGGUCUAUGAUGCAGUGCUAGCAUCUGGGGAUGCUCACAUCACCAGGAACACAGGCUUUGCAUAUGCCCUGGCCUAGGACUUCAACCCAUGGAUUGAUGCUGCCCAUGUUUCAAACUCCAUCGCAGACACACCCAAAGAUUGGUUGCUCGGUGAUUUCCAAUCCAGUUGACCAUGAUGAGUGGACACUAUGGUUGCUAGAGCAGUUCCCAUGGAAAAUGAUAAGAUUUAUGCCCUAGUACCGGAGGGUUGUAGUUGGAAUUAUGUCCUCCCCCAGCACCCAAAAUAUGAUCUCAUUUGAAAACAGAGUCCUGCGUCAUUAUGGUUAGAUAUGAUUCAAUGGCUGGUGGUGUCAUUAAGAGAGAAGGCUCAAUCAAGGGUACGUGGGAAGAUAACAAUCAUGUAAAGACAUGGAGAAAAUGCCUUGGGAAGUCAGAGGCGGAGACAGGAAAAGACUCUUGUAAACCAAGAAACGCAAAGUCAACACUAACCCAGUCUUCCCCAGGUACUCGAGAGUGAUUGUGUCCUUGCUGACCUCUUGAUUUUGGA